AUUGAACGCUGGCGGCAGGCUUAACACAUGCAAGUCGAGCGGGGGAAGGUAGCUUGCUACUGGACCUAGCGGCGGACGGGUGAGUAAUGCUUAGGAAUCUGCCUAUUAGUGGGGGACAACAUCUCGAAAGGGAUGCUAAUACCGCAUACGUCCUACGGGAGAAAGCAGGGGAUCUUCGGACCUCGCGCUAAUAGAUGAGCCUAAGUCGGAUUAGCUAGUUGGUGGGGUAAAGGCCUACCAAGGCGACGAUCUGUAGCGGGUCUGAGAGGAUAAUCCGCCACACUGGGACUGAGACACGGCCCAGACUCCUACGGGAGGCAGCAGUGGGGAAUAUUGGACAAUGGGGGGAACCCUGAUCCAGCCAUGCCGCGUGUGUGAAGAAGGCCUUAUGGUUGUAAAGCACUUUAAGCGAGGAGGAGGCUACUCUAGUUAAUACCUAGGGAUAGUGGACGUUACUCGCAGAAUAAGCACCGGCUAACUCUGUGCCAGCCGCCGCCGUAA
rnacentral:rRNA from 1 species